CGGUUGAUCCUGCCAGAGGCCGCUGCUAUCCGGCUGGGACUAAGCCAUGCUAGUCUAGGGGCUUGUACUCCUUCGGGGGUGCAAGCACCGGCGGACGGCUCAGUAACACGUGGACAACCUGCCCUCGGGUGGGGGAUAACCCCGGGAAACUGGGGCUAAUCCCCCAUAGGUGAUGGGUGCUGGAAUGCCCCAUCUCCGAAAGCGCUUAGCGCCCGAGGAUGGGUCUGCGGCGGAUUAGGUAGUUGGUGGGGUAACGGCCCACCAAGCCUAAGAUCCGUACGGGCUGUGGGAGCAGGAGCCCGGAGAUGGACCCUGAGACAAGGGUCCAGGCCCUACGGGGCGCAGCAGGCGCGAAACCUCCGCAAUGCGGGAAACCGCGACGGGGUUAGCCGGAGUGCCCGUGCAUUGCACGGGCUGUCGGGGUGCCUAAACAGCACCCCAUAGCAAGGGCCGGGCAAGGCCGGUGGCAGCCGCCGCGGUAAGACCGGCGGCCCGAGUGGCGGCCACUCUUAUUGGGCCUAAAGCGUCCGUAGCCGGCCCAGUAAGUUCCCCGGGAAAUCUGGUCGCUUAAC
rnacentral:rRNA from 1 species